AGGUAUGCGUGCAUACGGGGGUGUGCAGAGACGGUGCUGAACAUCAGAGCGUGCAUUGCGUGUGGCUGUGUGCACGGUGCUUGCAGGUGAAAGUUUUGCAUGUGUGUGCAUGCACAUGGCAGUGUGCAAGGCUGGAGCAGUGCUCGAGUCUUCGUGCUCGUGGGUGUGCAGAGGGAUGGGGUGCACACAUGUGAAAACAUAGCAGGCACUGCAAAGGAAACAGCUCCAUCCCAGCCACAACAGUGACAGGCAGGCAGGCACUGGGGAGGGCUGCACGGCAGAGGGACGCCCUCUGAGUGCCACAACAUGGAGCGCUGUCUGCAAGCAGAACAGUGCCGGGAUGGCAGCCUGGUGGUCCUAAGCUGCAGAGAUGCUGCUCUGGACCAACAGCCUGUCAUUUUUUCAGAAAACGCCGUCCUUUUGCUGAACUUUGCUCAUUGUACACCCGUCAUCACAGCAAAAAA
ensembl:lncRNA